GCCGGGCAUGGUGGCUCACGCCUGUAAUCCCAGCACUUUGGGAGGCUGAGGUGGGCGGAUCACCUGAGGCCAGGAGUUCGAGACCAGCCUGGCCAACAUGGUGAAACCCCGUCUCUA
rnacentral:SRP_RNA from 2 species